CCCCCCGCCCCACGGCCCCUCCGGGGGUCAGUUUGCAUUACAGAAGGACGUUACGGCGCGCGACUCCCUCACUUCCUCCACCCUGUAGCCACCCCAUCACCGUCCCUCCCCUCGCACGGCCUUCCCAGGGCGGCUCCGCGCUCGGCCGAAAUCUGCCACGCCAAUCCCUUCUGCUCUGCGGCGCUGACCCGGGGGGCCGGCCGGGAAGCCCUCCCGGCCUUUCCCAGACCCCAUCCGCCAGCGAUGGGGACCGCCCCGCGGCGCCCGUGAAGCCGGGUCCGCUGCCACGAGGCAACCUGGCCCGGCAGCCCGACGGGAGGUCGCUCUCCUCCCUGUCCUGGGGAAAGAGUGGCAGUUCGGUCCUCCCACGGCGCAUUUCUAACGGACGGUCGACCGGAGAAUCCUCCUCCGGGACACGGACGCUGGCAUAUUCCACCUGAACCCCGGACGAGCGGCGGGGGCACGCGGGAACCCAGCGGGAGCCCUGCCCGGGGACUCGGUCCAGCAGGAGUAGCUAGGGCCGAGGGUACCAUUCACCGAGCUCCGACGCGAUCCGGACCGAUUUGCCCCGCCUCGUUCGAAACCUCCAGUUUUUUGACAUGUCGAUGAAAAAUUCCGGGAUAAAUAUAUCUAUCACAUUUCUUUCGAAAUAAAGGCCUUUUAAUAAAGA